UACGUAGGGUGCGAGCGUUAAUCGGAAUUACUGGGCGUAAAGGGCUCGUAGGUGGCCAACUAAGUCAGACGUGAAAUCCCUCGGCUUAACCGGGGAACUGCGUCUGAUACUGGAUGGCUUGAGUUCGGGAGAGGGAUGCGGAAUUCCAGGUGUAGCGGUGAAAUGCGUAGAUAUCUGGAGGAACACCGGUGGCGAAGGCGGCAUCCUGGACCGACACUGACGCUGAGGAGCGAAAGCCAGGGGAGCAAACGGG
rnacentral:rRNA from 1 species